rnacentral:lncRNA from 1 species
CUCCAGCCUGGGCAACACAGUGGGACCUGGUCACAAACAAUCAAACACCCAGCACGCCUUCUUUGUGCCCAACAUGGCCUUCAGGCUGAGAGGAAUACAAUCCUGAUCAUCUGGAAUUUAUAGUCUAAUUGGAGAGAGAAGACAUAACAGAAAAAUUAAAUAAACUUACAGGAAGUAUGUGAUUGAAUGUCAGUCUGAAUGGUAAUGACAAUAAGUACUGUAUCUCAGAUAAGAGAUAUGUACAAAAUAAGCUUCCUAGAAGAUGUGAAAUGAUAAAGACUUUUUGGACUUUCUCUAUAGGCUUCAAUUCCCUGUGGUGGGUUUUUAGUUUCAUAUUUUGACAAGACUCAAAUCAGAAGCAAGUUCCCUUGUUUUGUUUUCACAAUCUACCUUUUUUAGAACAUUGUUUAGAAAGUUAUAUAUUGAGGGGUGAGCUGACAUUAUUUGACUAGAUUUCCAAAACUUAAAAUAUGUAGGUUAUAGUUUUAAAAAUUUGGAUUGAAUUUUGUUUAUCCCAGUUUCUUCUGAUAUAGUAGAAGGUUGUGCGAGCUCAUAGAGAAAUCUUGGCCGUUGGUCUAGAGGAUUGUUAGUGAGUGACAGGGCUCAGAUCCACAGAGCCUUUGGGGAAUGGCUAAUUAUUUUAACCUGGGGGCUCUCAUGAGCUUAUUGACAAGUAGUCAGACACUCUGGCCUUCCCUAGGCAUUUCCAGUUGCCCUUUCUAGUUUAUCUUACCUCUGCUCGGGAAUGGUAGCAACUGGAGGUGUCUCAAUCAUUACGAGUAAUUAAUGAUUGACUUUUCCGAUCCAUUAGAGUGCCUAUCCCACACAGAUGGCACAGUCACAUGUGACAAUUCUAGAGUGGAAGAGAAAGAAAUGAAAUGUGGUGAACAAUUGCACCUGUCUAAUAUCCUAGUUUUUUUGUGCUUCUAAGGGUGUGUCUAAUGGAAACAUUAUUUACCACAUGUGUCCUGGUGCCAAAAAGGUACAAAACAAUUGUUCUAGUAUAAGGAUAGAGAUAGUUCUUCUAGCAUAAGGAUAGAGAUAUUUCUUCUAGCAUAAGGAUAGAGAUAUUUCUUCUAGCAUAAGGAUAGAGAUAUCUCUUCUAGCAUAAGGAUAGAGAUAUUUCUCUAUCCUUAUACUUACUGGGAAAGAAAGCUCCCCUCCUCUUUUUUUUGUCUGGGUCUAAAUCAACUUUUUGGUGGCUGGUCAAAAUCGCUUUCCUUUCAGCCACUUGAAUGCUGGUUCAAUUAGGCCCUUUCUCCUCAGGGCACCUAUCCCUUAUUAAAAAAUCACCUAAGUUGCCCUCGAUGUUUAACAAUGCCAUCCACUUCUAAUGACUUCUUACUGUUUUUUUUUUUCUCCUGAAAUUCUCUAGCUUUCUUUAUAUGUUUGCCUCUUUGCUUUCAUUCACUGUGGCUUUUUAUUUUGAUUCCUCCUCUGAGCAUCAACUUCUGGUCCACUGUCUCAAAUCAAUUCUAGUAUAUCUACCAACUAAUUACAUUUCAAUCCCUACAAUGUCAGGUACCUUGGGCUUUCUCAAAUUACUUUUGAUUUGGGGAAAGAAUUUAAAAAAAUGUUUCCACUGCAAUUAUUUAAUGAUUCAACCUUCAUAGAAACUUAAACUUCAGAGGAGCAAAUAGCCUCAACAGAGGACUAAUUAAGCUUCAUGUUACCCUGGCGAAGUAGGGAGAAUAAGUACGCAGUGAGGCUGCAAUCAUUUCCUCUGAAGUUCGAUUAAAAGCCAAGUUUUAAAAUGUUAGACCAGUGCUAAUCUGCAUGACUGCUUCGGGUUUCAUUUGAGAAAGAAUUGUGGUUGCAAACAUUAACACUAAAAUAUGUGAAUCUAUUUCCAUAAUCAGGGCCCUACGGGAUGGAGCCUAGAUUUAAUAUGGUUUUGGUGCUUACGUGUUUUCCACUACAUUGAUUAAUACUGUCCUCUCAUGUGGAACCCAAUCAGGAGCAACCUGCCAGAGGACUAUUUUCUAUAAAUUUAAGCUGAACUAAUAUCUGUGGAAAUCUUAAGACUAAAGAAGAGUUGAUGAAUAUACUACAAUUAAAGUUGCCUUGUAAAUUGAAGAAUGAAGCAGAGGAUAAUGAACAUAUUGAAAUGAUUCCACAUGUUUUAUGCAUGACACAUUUGUAAUUAAAACGGAUCCUGAAGCUACUCCCACUAAGUGCUCGGUACUGGGCUAGGACAUGCUGCUCACUAUUGUGAGUGAUCGCAGCAACUCAGUUUUGAAUAUUUAUAUAUGUUGAGGUGAAGGAUCUUCCUUGACUACAUCUGAGGAGUUGUGGAAUCCUCAGAAGUAAGUCCUUCUAACAACACACUACAGUAUGAUGCGUUUCUGAUCCAAGCUGCUGUGAAUCCAUGUCAGGAGAAACCUUCAGUUGUGUUUUAAUAAAUGAAAACACAGUAGGGCUGAGAAAUCUGCAGCUACCUGGAAAAAUAAACUCCUUCCCCCUUGGAAACUGCUAAUUUCUUAAAUAUCCACAUUUGCAUUUAGUUUUGGGAAUUUAUAUUGUUUCAAUAAAAAUGAGCAUAUUUGGU